rnacentral:tRNA from 1 species
CGGGGUGUCAUAUACCGGUAGUAUGCAUGCUUCGGGAGUAUGCAGACUGGGUUCAAUUCCCAGCACCCCGACCA